GUGAUGGCAUCCAGCAUUCCGCACCGUAGAGCAGCACGGAGAAUACAUAAUAUCUCACGUGUCUCGUCAUUGUUUCAAGCCAUGACUCUUGAAGAUUGCGCACGUUUUGUCAAAUGCUAUUCUCGCUUUCCCUAUUAGACGUUUAAUUUUUGAGCGUUGUCCCGUCUUUCAUUUAUCACGGUACCUAAAUAGCAAUAUUGUUUCGCUCUUUCUAUCCUAGUUUGAUUGACAUAAAUGCGAGCUCCGUUUAUAGCGGACUUGCUAACGACCGUUUGUUUUGUUUUGUGGA